rnacentral:rRNA from 1 species
UACGGAGGGUGCGAGCGUUGUCCGGAAUCAUUGGGCGUAAAGGGCGCGUAGGUGGCCACUACAAGCGUGCGGUGAAAGUCGGGGGCUCAACCCCUGAUCGGCCGUGCGAACUGGGGGGCUGGAGCACUGUAGAGGCAGGCGGAAUUCCGGGUGUAGCGGUGGAAUGCGCAGAUAUCAGGAGGAACACCGGUGGCGAAGGCGGGUCUCUGGGCCGAUACUGACGCUGAGGAGCGAAAGCGUGGGGAGCGAACAGG